UGGAGGCCGUCAAUGAACUCUCGUUCUGUCCUGUCACGGCUAUGGAGACGUCAAUGAACUCUCGUUCUGUCCUGUCACGGCUAUGGAGGCUGUCAAUGAACUCUCGUUCUGUCCUGUCAUGGCUAUGGAGGCUGUCAAUGAACUCUCGUUCUGUUCUGUCACUGCUAUAAGAACGAACCAUGAACUUCCUGUGUUCCCUACCCCAGUCCUUGUGUCUGUGCAUGUUCUGUCUUCUCCCUGUGUCUCCUUCCUCCCUAGGUCCCAGGCUCUGCUGUGGGUUCCUGAUCCGUCGUGGUGGGCUCCUGCUCUAUCUGCGCCACCGUGGUGGUCUUCGGGUCCGUCUGCUCCGCUCUGGUGGUCUUCUGCUCCACCUGUUCCACCCGCUCCGCUGUGGUGGUCCACUAUCUGGCUCUGAUGGUCUUCUGCGCCGCCUUGGUGGGCUCAACCUCCGUCUGGUCCGCCCUGGUGGGCUCAACCUCCGUCUGGUCUGCCCCGGUGGGCUCAACCUCCGUCUGGUCCGCCCUGGUGGGCUCGUGUUCUGUCGGCUCCGCCCUGGUGGGUUCCAGUCCCGUCCACUCUGCCCUGGCUUCCUGCUCUGCCAGCUCUACCUCGGUCCCAGAUCACUCCCUUGCCACAAGGACCUGGCCCUCCAUCCCUCCCCCUGUUCCGCCUCCGCUCCACCUCCCUCCUGGAUCAUAGACUGUGUGGAGCGUCUGGAAAGCCGCUCUUUGGGGGGGGGCUCUGUCACGAAUCUGGUCUGCACUCCCGGUCACUCACCACUAGAGGUCACCCGCUCACCACAUGGACUUUCACACCACACAUCACAUGGACUGCAUUUCCCAUCAGCCAUCUCACCAAUCACACGCACACAGCUGUCACCAAUCAUUCAUUGCACUAAUCACAUGCACACCUGAUCACACAGCAUCACUGAUCACACACACUAUUUCUACCCUGGACAUUCUCUCCCUCGUUGCCGAGUAUUGUAUGCAUUAUCGCUGCUCUACGAAGUCCCGUUGGUUUCCCUAGUUUUGCCUCGCCUCGCCUCGCCUCGCCUCGCCUCGCCUCGCCUCGCCUCGCCACGCCACGCCAGCUCCGUAACAAAUCUGUUUUGCCUCCCAAAAAAAAAGGAGAAAUGGUGGAUUCGCAGCAAUGGGUCUAUAAGCAUACCAGAAAUCUUGAAGGAGUUCCCCAGGCUUCUAGGAAAACUUGGCAUAGUGGCGUGGGGACCGACAUGGUGAUGCAUUCCUGCACAUUCUGUGCCUUGGUGACGAGACGACGACCUCACACACCUUCUCCAUUGUUUCGGGGCAUGCCAUUGAAAUGUACUUGUUGCUUGAGGCUGUUUAUCUUCCUUCCUGGGAAUUUCUCCAGCAUGCAGUAUAUCAUAUUGAUGGACACGAGUCUUCAUGUGUCAACUAUUUGAGGGCAACUGUUUUUUCUGGCCACUUGUAACGUUGUAAUUUUUUGUCACAUGUAUUGUCUGUUGUAGGUCUCUUUGUUUGGCUUAGUUUUAAUGGCACAAUGUUUGGACUGAUUCUCAUGUGGCAAUAAUUAAUUUCAUAGUGUUAUGAUGCUGCAGUGUUGACAAAGAAUAGGAAUCUACAGUAUUACAGAAAAAUAAUAAUUUUACAUUCCUUUGUGAUUAUUUAUUAUUAUUGGUAAAUAUAAAGAUAGCAAGGCAAUGAGACAACAAAUAACACAAUGUUUGGGUAAUGUUUAACCCAGAAACACAGUUAACCUGACCUACUGGUUGGGUCA